rnacentral:rRNA from 1 species
GAUGAACGCUGGCGGCGUGCCUAAUACAUGCAAGUCGAGCGAACGGACGAGAAGCUUGCUUCUCUGAUGUUAACGGCGGACGGGUGAGUAACACGUGGAUAACCUCCCUAUAAGACUGGGAUAACUUCGGGAAACCGGAGCUAAUACCAGAUAAUAUUUUGAACCGAAUGGUUCAAAAGUGAAAGACGGUCUUGCUGUCACUUAUAGAUGGAACCCCGCUGCAUAAGCUAGUUGUUAAGGUAACGGCAUACCAAGGCAACGAUGCAUACCGGACCUGAGAGGGUGAUCGGCUACACUGUAUGUGAGACACGUCCCAGACUCCGACGGGAGGAAGCAGUAGGGAAUCUUACGCAAGGCGCGAAAGCCUGACGGUACAACGCCGCGUGAAUGAUGAAGUUCUUCGGAUCGUAAAGCGCUGUAAUUAGUGAAGAACAUAUGUGUAAGUAACUGUGCAGAUCAUGACGGUACCUAAACAGAAAGCCACGGCUAACUCCGUG